rnacentral:rRNA from 1 species
GGAUGAACGCUGGCGGCGUGCCUAAUACAUGCAAGUCGAGCGAACGGACGAGAAGCUUGCUUCUCUGAUGUUAGCGGCGGACGGGUGAGUAACACGUGGAUAACCUACCUAUAAGACUGGGAUAACUUCGGGAAACCGGAGCUAAUACCGGAUGAUAUUUUGAACCGCAUGGUUCAAAAGUGAAAGACGGUCUUGCUGUCACUUAUAGAUGGAUCCGCGCUGCAUUAGCUAGUUGGUAAGGUAACGGCUUACCAAGGCAACGAUGCAUAGCCGACCUGAGAGGGUGAUCGGCCACACUGGAACUGAGACACGGUCCAGACUCCUACGGGAGGCAGCAGUAGGGAAUCUUCCGCAAAGGGCGAAAGCCUGACGGAGCAACGCCGCGUGAGUGAUGAAGGUCUUCGGAUCGUAAAACUCUGUUAUUAGGGAAGAACAUAUGUGUAAGUAACUGUGCACAUCUUGACGGUACCUAAUCAGAAAGCCACGGCUAACUACGUG